UACCCGGCCUGAAAGGGUGACCGGCCACACUGAGACUGAAACACGGCCCAAACUCCUACGGAAGGCAGCAGUGGGGAAUAUUGCACAAUGGGCGCAAGCCUGAUCCAGCCACGCCGCGUGAGGGAUGACGGCCUUCGGGUUGUAAACCUCUUUCAGCAGGGAAGAAGCCUUGCCUUUUUGACUGGUGUGACGGUACUUGCACAAGAAGCACCGGCUAACUACGUGCCAGCAGCCGCAGUAAUACGUAAGCUGCAAGCUGUUGUCCGGAUUUAUUGAGCGUAAAGAGCUCAUAGGCCGCUUGUCGCGUCGAUUGUGAAAGCUCAAGGCUUAACCCUGGGUCUGCAGUCGAUACGCGCAGGCUACAGUUCGGUAGGGGAGACUGGAAUUUUCCUAGUGUUACCGGUGAAAAUGCGCAGAUAUCAAGAGGAACCACCGGUGGCGAAGGGCGGGUCUCUGGGCCGAUACUGACGCUGAGGAGCGAAAGCGUGGGGAGCGAACAAGAUUAGAUACCCUGGUACUCCACGCUGUAAACGGUGGGAACUAGGUGUGGGCAGCAUUUCCACGUUGUCUGUUGCAGUAACUAACCCAUUUAAGUUCCCCCGCCUGGGGAAUACGGCCGCAAGGCUAAAACUCAAAAGGAAUUGACCGGGGGCCCGCACAAGCCGCCGAACCAUGUGGCUUAAUUCCAACCCAACCCAAAAAACCUUACAAAGCCUUGACAUACGCCCGAA
rnacentral:rRNA from 1 species